rfam:Callithrix jacchus chromosome 8, whole genome shotgun sequence
GCUGGGGGUGGUGAUGUGCACCUAUAGUCUCAGUUACUCAGGAGGCUGAGGUGGGAGGAUUGCUUGAACCCAGGAGGUUAGAGGCUGCAGUGAGCCAAGAUUGCGCCACUGCACUCCAGCCUGGGUGACAGAGCAAGACCCCAUCUCAA